AACAGGAUUAGAUACCCUGGUAGUCCACGCUGUAAACGAUGAGUGUUAGGUUCUUGGAAUAAUCUGGGAGCCGCAGCUAACGCAUUAAACACUCCGCCUGGGGAGUACGCACGCAAGUGUGAAACUCAAAGGAAUUGACGGGGACCCGCACAAGCAGCGGAGCAUGUGGUUUAAUUCGACGCAACGCGAAGAACCUUACCAAGUCUUGACAUAUUUCGGAGGGAAUUAGAGAUAAUUUCUUACGACUUCGGUCGACUGAAAUACAGGUGGUGCAUGGUUGUCGUCAGCUCGUGUCGUGAGAUGUUGGGUUAAGUCCCAUAACGAGCGCAACCCCUAUCGUUAGUUACCAUCAUUAAGUUGGGGACUCUAGCGAUACUGCCGGUGAUAAACCGGAGGAAGGUGGGGACGACGUCAAAUCAUCAUGCCCUUUAUGACUUGGGCUACACACGUGCUACAAUGGCAGAUACAGAGGGCAGCGAAAGAGCGAUCUGAAGCGAAACUCACAAAAUCUGUCCCAGUUCGGAUUGUACUCUGCAACUCGAGUACAUGAAGUUGGAGUUGCUAGUAAUCGCGAAUCAGAAUGUCGCGGUGAAUGCGUUCCCGGGUCUUGUACACACCGCCCGUCACACCAUGGGAGUUGGCAAUACCCGAAGCCUGUGAGCGAACCUUUUAGGACGCAGCAGUCGAAGGUAGGGUCAGUAACUGGGGUGAAGUCGUAACAAGGUAACC
rnacentral:rRNA from 1 species